rnacentral:misc_RNA from 1 species
GUAGGUGAACCUGCGGAAGGAUCAUUAACACGUAUCCAACGUUAAACCCCCGUGCAUUUUAACCCUGCUCUCUUCGCCUUGACAAAGCAAUCUCUGGUAAAUCACGCGAACAGUUUGGAGCAAUUAGACUUGGUUUCCGCAAGGAUAACUGAUACUUACUCAGAUCGUUGACCCUCACGGUCAACGGACAGGUCUCUGGGCUUACGCCCCAUAUUAACCCCCAAUGUAGGUGAAAGUAGUGCUGCGUAAAGUAGGCACACAAAAACGAACAACUGUUAACAAUGGAUAUCUUGGUUCUG